rnacentral:rRNA from 1 species
UUGUUCGGAUUUACUGGGCGUAAAGGGUGCGUAGGCGGCGCGGUAAGUCACUUGUGAAAUCUCUGAGCUUAACUCAGAACGGCCAAGUGAUACUGCAGUGCUAGAGUGCAGAAAGGGCAAUCGGAAUUCUUGGUGUAGCGGUGAAAUGCGUAGAUAUCAAGAGGAACACCUGAGGCGAAGGCGGGUUGCUAGGCUGACACUGACGCUGAGUGCGCGAAAGCCAGGGGAGCAAACAGG